rnacentral:sRNA from 1 species
AUGCAGCGCGUCUGCACUCCGGUUUCUGUGCGCCAUCCACGCUCAGCUGGCGGCUGCGCGCGACUGCCGGUCGGUCGCGCCAGCC